UGGGCUAAGAGCUGUCAAAUCACUCUCUACUAAGUCUCUUUGGAAGUUCUGAGACCAGGGCCAACAGCAGCCUACCAGGUCCCUCCCUGACCUGGGGAAAAUAUUUCCCAGAAAGCCAGGACUCCACACAAGGGCAGGCAUGGCAGAAAGCUAGCUCUUCAGUAAAGAGCAAAUGCUUACAUUGUCUUCUAUGGAUUAAAGAAUUGGUCUCAUUGCACAAAAACUUAAAAUAGAUCCCA
rnacentral:lncRNA from 1 species